rnacentral:rRNA from 1 species
AGUGAACGCUGGCGGUAGGCCUAACACAUGCAAGUCGAACGGCAGCACAGUAAGAGCUUGCUCUUACGGGUGGCGAGUGGCGGACGGGUGAGGAAUACAUCGGAAUCUACUUUUUCGUGGGGGAUAACGUAGGGAAACUUACGCUAAUACCGCAUACGACCUACGGGUGAAAGCAGGGGAUCUUCGGCCCUUGCGCGAUUGAAUGAGCCGAUGUCGGAUUAGCUAGUUGGCGGGGUAAAGGCCCACCAAGGCGACGAUCCGUAGCUGGUCUGAGAGGAUGAUCAGCCACACUGGAACGGAGACACCGUCCAGACUCCUACGGGAGGCAGCAGUGGGGAAUAUUGGACAAUGGGCGCAAGCCUGAUCCAGCCAUACCGCGUGGGUGAAGAAGGCCUUCGGGUUGUAAAGCCCUUUUGUUGGGAAAGAAAAGCAGCAGGUUAAUACCCCGCUGUUCUGACGGUACCCAAAGAAUAAGCACCGGCUAACUUCGUG